CAGCAGGCAGAGAGCCUUCCUUUUCCGAUUCUCUAUAUCCUUUCCUCAUUCCCAAUCUCCGAUCCAUCCUAAAAACAACUGACGAGAGAUCGAUGAUGAUGAAGAUGCCUUGGAGGAGAAAGAGCAGGAGCUUCUAUCUUCAGCUACAAGGGGCAAUUGGUACCAUUCAAUCUCCAUUCCUAUUCUUAUUUACCAAUUAUUGCCAUUCUUCUACUUCCUCACUUGAAGAUGCACGCUUCUUGACAAAUAACUUCAAAUCUGCUUCUUUUACCCACCUCGAUGAUGCCAUUGCUUCCUUCAAUCAUGUAAUUCAUAAACAUCCUCUGCCUUCUAGGGUUCCAUUUAAUAGAUUCUUAUCUGCCCUUGUGAAAAUGAAACAAUAUCAUACUGUCCUUUCCAUGUCCAAAACAAUUGAAUUGCUAGGAAUCUCUCACAAUGUUUAUUCUCUUAGCAUCUUAAUUAAUUGCUUCUGCCGUUUACAUCUUGUGGAUUUUGGCUUCUCUGUUUUCGGGAAGAUGUUCAAAUUCGGAUUGGAGCCUACCACUGUGACAUUUACUACCUUAAUUAAUGGUCUUUGUAUAGAGAGUAAAAUGGACAAAGCUGUGGAAUUUUUCCAUGAUAUGGUUGCACGUGGUUAUCAACCUAAUGUUUAUACUUACAGUACGAUAAUAAACGGAAUGUGUAAAUUUGGGAAAACAAAUGUGGCUAUUGGGCUACUAAAGGGAAUGGCUGAUCGAGGUUGUGGGCCAAAUGUUGUGACAUACGGAGCAAUCAUUGACGCCCUUUGCAAGGAUGAGCUAGUUGGUGAGGCUUUAGAGCUCUUCUCUCAAAUGAGGAAUAAGGGCAUUUCACCUACCGUCAUCACUUACACUAGUUUAAUUCAUGGUGUUUGCAAAUUAGGCCAAAAGAACCAAGCUUUGGCCUUGAUGAAUGAAAUGGUGGAGCAGAACAUAUUACCGAAUGUUUAUACCUUCAAUGUAUUGAUUGAUGCUCUUUGUAAGGAUGGAAUGGCUUCAGAGGCUCAAAAUACAUUCAAUGUAAUGAUUCAAAGAGGUUUAGAGCCUGAUGUGAUCACAUACACUUCCUUAAUUGAUGGUCUUUGCAUUUCCGACCAAUUCAAGGAAGCUUUGGCCUUGUUGAAAGAAAUGGUGGGGAGGAACAUAUUCCCUAAUGUUUUUACCUUCAAUAUAUUGAUCGACACUCUUUGUAAGAAAGGACUGGUUUCAAAUGUAGAGAAUAUAAUCAAAAUAAUGAUUCAAAGAGGUGUGGAACCUACCGUUGUCACUUAUAGUUCAUUGAUGGAUGGAUAUUGUCUAGGCAGCCAAAUUGAUAAGGCUAGAAAGGUAUUUGAUCUGAUGGUGACCAAUGAAAUAGCUAACAUUUUUAGCUACAACAUUUUGAUCAAUGGAUAUUGUAAGUGCAAAAUGAUAGAUGAUGCAAAGGAGUUUUUUGAUGAAAUGUCUCAUAAAGUUUUAGUUCCUAAUGCUGUUACUUAUAAUACUCUUAUAAAGGGUAUGUUUCAAGCAGGGAGGCCCCAAAAUGCAAAAGAGCUCUUUAAGGAUAUGUGCUCUCAUGGUCAACAACCAAAUAUAGUAACCUUCUCAAUUAUGAUUGAUGGCUUGUGUAGACAGGGGAAUCUCGAUGAGGCACUCACACUAUUGAAAGCAAUGGAGAAAAGUCAGUUGAAACCUAAUGUUGUGAUCUAUAGCAGUCUGAUCAAUGGUAUGUGCAGAGUUGGGAAGAUUAAUGAUGCCAAGGAACUUUUUUCUAGUCUUUCUGAAAUUGGUUUACAACCUGAUGUUUAUGUAUAUAGUGCAAUUAUGAAAGGACUCUGCCAAGAAGGAUUAAUGGAUGAAGCGUAUAAGGUAUUUAAAGACAUGGAAAAGGUAGGAUGUUUACCAAAUAAUUGUUGUUAUAAUAUCAUCAUUAAAGGGUUUCUCAGGCAUGAGGAUUUACCAAAAGCAUCAGAACUAAUCAAUGAAAUGGUUGAUAAGGGGUUCUCUGCUGAUGAUGCUACCACAGAAUUGGUAGUACAUUUAUCGCGGAAUAAUAAUCUCAUUCUGAGGCUUUUAAAGGUGCGCAAUAAGGGAUCAACAAACUAAAGUUGUUAUAUCUUGACCAUUCAAGUGUAUCUUGGAGUGCAACUUGACAUGGACUAGAUCUCUUUGAUAUAAGAUUGUUGAUGAAUGGAGGUCAUGGAUUUCUAAUCAUCAAGUUGCUGGUACUUGCAAGGAUAUGACUACAACUUCUCCUUUCUAACCGUAAAGGGUGCAGGAUAUACAGUCCCAUAAUACAAGGUAAGAGAAUCACUCUACUUCUACAGCUGUUGGUUGGAUGAAAUGUCACUAAAAUUAUAGAAAACAAAAAAUGUUAUGGGAAUUGAGGGAAAAGCAAACAUCCUCUUUUUUGGUUUCUUGGUUUACAGAAAUCUACCAAUUUUAUUUGUUGAGAUUGUUGAAUCGUGUGAUAGUAAAUUAGUUUCAAUAGCUGUAUAUUAAGGAAAAAUACUUAGGAAAUCAUUUCUGUAUGAUAUAUCUUUAUUAUAUAAUAAUAAUACAAUCAAGUAUGACCAUUUUGUCAAUAUGGUAUAUAACAAAUAUAUUUUAGUGUUGGACCACCUAUUGAGUUAUUUAUGUGGUGCAUUUUGUGAUACGUUUGUAUGUUGUUAUGAAGGCGAAACACAUUGUUUCUUACUGUUUGAGAAAAGUUAGGCAAAAAAAGUUGCUUUGGUUGUUUCUUUUCUCCUUUCAGCUGUAAAUUAUGCGAGAUUUUGUGUUUAGCACGUUGUAAACCUUGUAAUAUACUCAAUAAAAUUUUCUUUGAGCUUUUGUU